rnacentral:rRNA from 1 species
UACAGAGGGGGCAAGCGUUGUCCGGAAUUACUGGGCGUACAGCGCGCGCAGGCGGUCGUUCAAGUCGCGUGUGAAAGCCCCCGGCUCAACUGGGGAGGGUCACGCGAUACUGAUCGACUCGAAGGCAGGAGAGGGUAGUGGAAUUCCCGGUGUAGUGGUGAAAUGCGUAGAUAUCGGGAGGAACACCAGUGGCGAAGGCGACUACCCGGCCUGUUCUUGACGCUGAGGCGCGAAAGCUAGGGGAGCAAACGGG